rfam:Heligmosomoides polygyrus genome assembly, scaffold: HPBE_scaffold0000284
GCGCCGGUGGUGUAAGGCGAACAUCGCUGCCCGGAAAGCAGAAGAUGCGGGUUCGAGUCCCGCCUGGCGCU